rnacentral:rRNA from 1 species
ACAGAGGGGGCGAGUGUUGUUCGGAUUUACUGGGCGUAAAGGGCGCGCAGGCGGCUCAUUUUGUCAGGCGUGAAAGCCCCGGGCUUAACCUGGGAGGUGCGUUUGAUACGGAUGGGCUAGAGUUCGGGAGAGGAGAGUGGAAUUCCCAGUGUAGAGGUGAAAUUCGUAGAUAUUGGGAAGAACACCGGUGGCGAAGGCGGCCAUCUGGACCGGCACUGACGCUGAGGCGCGAAAGCCAGGGGAGCGAAUGGGA